rnacentral:rRNA from 6 species
GCGACCCCAGGUCAGGCGGGGCUACCCGCUGAAUUUAAGCAUAUCAAUAAGCGGAGGAA